AUGCGAUGAGCCGAAUUUGGUUUUUAACCAUAUUUGCGCAAGGGAAGUCUACAUUAAAUUGUAACGCAGGAGCGGACUUUGGUAACUUGUUGUGAACCCUGUCACCACAUGGAAACAUGCCCUCAAUCCUCUAUCUUCGGAUAGGGGAUUUUU
rnacentral:sRNA from 1 species